AUUUAUGUGUAUACAUAUUGUUUGUUAUGUAAUUGCCUUUAAAUAUUAGCUUUUCAUAUUAAUUUGUAUUAGUGACAGUUUGUCAUAGAAAAGCAGAUACAAAAGUCGAUGCCAAAGAAGUAUUUUUAAUCAAAACGUCACAUAUUCCACGUGUAAAUGAACACUUGAAAUUCCUCCCAUACAAAACAAAUGCAUCUUUCUUGAAAAACAGUUCCAAAGCAUAGACAGACUAAAUGCCAAAGUAAGGCAUUUCACUAGAACUCGAAUACAAGACACAAAAAAGCUAUACAUUGUAUUAACAUGUGUGUGACUUUGAAUCGAGACAGAGCACUUAAACAGAGUAAGUUUGGUAGAUUAACAAAACGCAAACACAAAUGCACGACUUGGCAAAGAUCCAUCAGGAAAUAAAAUAAAACAUCAAGCACAAAA